UAAAAAGUACAGCAGCGUGACAAAAGAAACGCACAAAUGUACGGAUUUUCUUCGUAAACAACUUAAUCAUUUGAUCGUCUGUUUAAUGCCGUUUCAAUGUGUUACAGAUUGCAUUUCUGCCGUUUAUAGUUGAUAGUCUCAAAAAGAAGUCCAAAGC